UACGAAGGGGGCUAGCGUUGCUCGGAAUCACUGGGCGUAAAGGGUGCGUAGGCGGGUCUUUAAGUCAGGGGUGAAAUCCUGGAGCUCAACUCCAGAACUGCCUUUGAUACUGAAGAUCUUGAGUUCGGGAGAGGUGAGUGGAACUGCGAGUGUAGAGGUGAAAUUCGUAGAUAUUCGCAAGAACACCGGUGGCGAAGGCGGCAUCCUGGACCAACACUGACACUGAGGAGCGAAAGCCAGGGGAGCAAACGGG
rnacentral:rRNA from 1 species